rnacentral:rRNA from 1 species
UACGUAGGAGGCGAGCGUUGUCCGGAGUUACUGGGCGUAAAGGGUGCGCAGGCGGCUGGGCAAGUUUGCGGUGAAAUCCCCUGGCUCAACUGGGGGGGUGCCGUGAAAACUGCUCUGGCUUGAGACUCGCAGGGGGGCGCGGAAUUCCGGGUGGAGCGGUGAAAUGCGUAGAGAUCCGGAGGAACGCCGACGGCGCAGGCGGCGCCCUGGACGAGGUCUGACGCUCAGGCACGAAAGCUGGGGGAGCAAA